UUUUUUUUUUUUUUUUUUUAAGUGGUCUGCCCUUCCACUGAAAGUGUAGCUUUUUGACAGUCUCAGCCAUAUAAACAGGAUCUCAGUUUCAUCCUUCCAUCCAUCCAUUAGAGGCACAAGGUCUCAUCUCUUUUCCUUUUGGGCAUUAAAACCAAAGUUCAUACAUUAUUGAGACAGGCCGACUCUGCUAAGGCAGCCUGUUUGGCCUUUAAGUUUUAUUGCUUAUUUUUUGAGUAUGUAUUUAUUUUUUUGAUUAUUAUUAUUUUUUUUUUGAGCUUUAAGCCUUCAAGUUUCCUUUUUAUUCUUGACCCCUAGACAUUUCCUUUGCUUGUGGACUCGGGUAUUUGUUUUUAGGUAAUAUUUUUUUUCCCUAUGACACAGCCCUCAGGAGAUCCUGAGAACAUGUGCCCUCAUUUUUAGGUAAUUUUAAUUAGGAAGGGUUUUAGGUUGUCUGAUCUGCCUUGUUGCUAGAAACAGAAAUUCUCCUAUUGAUUGAUUUUUCAAACCACUUCUUAGUGGCCUCUACAACUACUCCAGUCAGGUCAAGAAUGGCUCUCACAUUGCCAAGUCAGUGGGUAUUUUUAGUCUUCAUCUUAGAUGACCUUUAUGCACAUUUGUCUUUGUCUAGGAACUUCUGUUGGAAACAUCUUCUAUUUUAAUGUUAUUUUAAAUUUUUUUGCUUUUGUAACAUUAUGCUUAGCAUGUGUGUCCAACUCUUUGACAAUUUCUUUUUAGUUUUCUGGUGGCUUCCCUUUAUCCAAAUUUAGUAUUGAAAUUCCUCGAGCCGCUGCUUUUCUCACUCCAUAAUUCUGGCCAGAAUUUGGUACUUAAAAUAUUUUGUCUAAAAUAUUACAAUAGCUACUUAAGUCAUCUCCCUGACUCCACUCUGUUGUCUUUCAGGGCGUCGUCCACACUGUAGCCAAAGUGAUCUUAUAAAAACAUAAUUCUAAUCAUGGCACUCUUCUGCUUAAAAAUGUUUUAAUGGCUUUCCGUUAGGUUAAAAUUUAAAAGUCCUUUGUAGCCUGUGAGACUCUACAUGAGUUGACUCCCUAGCUUCAUCUUUGAGCAUCUUAUUUCUUUACUUAUUAUACCAUCAGUUAGAGUUGAUUGUUAUAUAAUCCACAGAAGUGAAUUCUGUCUGAUUUAAGCAAAAAAAAAAAAAAAAAAAAAAA
rnacentral:lncRNA from 1 species